rnacentral:pre_miRNA from 1 species
GUCUGGUUAGAACUGAUCCUUCAAUUUGGUUUCGAUGGAAAAUUUCUAUUGGAAAUUUUGACAAAAUUUCCAAUAGAAAUUUUCCAUCGAAACCAAAUUGAAGGAUCAGUUCUAACCAGA